UAUCUUUCUAUGUAUAAAUAAAAUUAGCAACAUGGUCUAUAUUGCCAGAAAUUUCCAAAUUUUAUGCAUUUCCUGGAGGAAGUUGCUUGAAGUUGCUGAUAUCAUAAAAAGUUGCUCCAAAUGCAAAAAGUUGCCGAGCAUAAUCUGUAGAAGCCUAUUGUCAAUUGGUUCAAGAAACUUUUGCAUAUUUAAUUAAACCACAUAGCAAUUCUAUUGUGAAUAUGAUUGAAUGCUGAUUGAACAGCUGAACACUUAAAUUUGACAUACUAUAUAUUCAGUCUCAGCUGCAUGUAUGUUAAGGACUCAAAUGCAAUUUACCCGGACGCAAAAAGCGUCAUCUGGAUACGUAAUCAUGCAACAGUGCCAAAUCUUUGAUCUUUGAGGAUCACUCAUAUAUACUAUGGCAAAUACUUAUAUUGUAGUAAAUAUAGAAACGAGU